rnacentral:lncRNA from 1 species
CAGAUGCCUCAGAGCCCCGGGCCGCAGUUAAGGUGACGAGAUGCAGCAAUUCUUUAUGAACAUUUCAUUCCUGCUCGCUACACGACGUAAAUUAGAUGGUGUGUUACAUUCGGGCAAUAAGAGAGAUAUGUCACCACGACGCUGGCCCAUUGGAUGGAGAGGGGGUUUGGCGAAGAGCUGAAAGGAUUUCACCCUGAUGUGCACACUACUGAGUGACCCCGCUCACCAGCGGCUCCGCUGAUUGCUUUGCACCUUGCAGACGCCGCAAUUGGCUCAGCCUCU